GACGAACGCUGGCGGCGUGCUUAACACAUGCAAGUCGAACGAUGAAAGCGGGAGCUUGCUCCUGCUGGAUUAGUGGCGAACGGGUGAGUAACACGUGAGCAAUCUGCCCCGAACUCUGGGAUAAGCGUUGGAAACGACGUCUAAUACCGGAUACGACGCGCGAAGGCAUCUUCUGCGCGUGGAAAGAACUUCGGUUCGGGAUGAGCUCGCGGCCUAUCAGCUAGUUGGUGAGGUAACGGCUCACCAAGGCGACGACGGGUAGCCGGCCUGAGAGGGUGACCGGCCACACUGGGACUGAGACACGGCCCAGACUCCUACGGGAGGCAGCAGUGGGGAAUAUUGCACAAUGGGCGAAAGCCUGAUGCAGCAACGCCGCGUGAGGGACGACGGCCUUCGGGUUGUAAACCUCUUUUAGUAGGGAAGAAGCGAAAGUGACGGUACCUGCAGAAAAAGCACCGGCUAACUACGUGCCAGCCGCCGCCGUAACAC
rnacentral:rRNA from 1 species